GUGAAUGUUUGAGCUGGGAACGCGACGCUCAGUGCCGAAGUCAGAAGAAACGAACGACCGUUGGUCCCAAGAGAAAAAAAGACCGUCAUCUUGCGUUUCAUAAAACGAGUGGUGGUAGACUUGACAGCACAGAAGUCCACUGCAAUUUGGGAUUUUCUCUUGAAUUUGAGAGAGAAGGGCUCUAUUUCAAAGACCAUUCUGAGUACCGAGUCUUGGGAGAGCAACACAAGCAGCACGCAAAUGUGAAUUCUAGAAGUGAUGGAUCAGCAUUUCCAUAUCAAGAUAAUUCUCCAAUGCAGUCAAUGAUGCCGUUGACCUGAAAGAGCAUGGGUAACUUGGGAGACUUACUAAUGCUUUUAUUAUCCUUUAGAGCAGAUGUGGGCAACUCCGGUUCUGGAAAGCCACUGUCCUGCAGAAUUGAGCUCCAACCCUAAUCAAACACACCUGCCCUACAUUUUUUCAAGUAAUCCUGGAGAUCUUCAUUGAUUUGUUCAGGUAUGUCAGAUUAGGGUUGGAGCUAAAUUCUUCAGGACAGUGACUCUCCAGGACUGGAGUUGGCCCUUCCUGACCUAGAGGAUAACAAGGACUGUGUACUAUACAGUAUAUUUCUUUCUUUCUUUCUUUCUUGUCACAGUUAUUUCAGAUUUAUGAUUGUGCUGUAAUUCUUUGGUAAGCUACACUGGCAUCAGUUCUACAAAUAUUUGUCAGAUAAUGUGUUUUCAGAUGUUUAUUAUGUUUAAAAUGUAUGUACAGUUUGGUGGACCUACCGCUUAAGCUGCUUGUAAGAGCCAUCUUGAAUGUAUGCAAAAUUAUUUUUCUGCCAAGUGUUUUUGCUCUAUAAUCUAAGGUGAAGUAUUGUCUACAAAAAUUAUUCUGUUGAGCAGGUGAUUAAUAAAGUGUAUGUUAAA